rnacentral:lncRNA from 1 species
UAGGGAGAAAGCAGCUGUUGAUGCCCACUGUGUUUUCUACUUGGAGAUGCUUCUGGAAUUCUCUAUGAAUUACUUUCUAAUAUUCUUAUUCUUACUGGAGAAAGGGAUUCCAAGGCAAGGGUUCUGUCAUUACCCCUCUUUCUAGCUCUUGCCUCUAGCAAUCAGGUCCAUUUGUUGCAUCCAAAUAUUCCUCUCUUGUCUUUCUGCUUUUACUUUGUUUGUUGUUGUUGUUAUUUCAAAAUUUUCAUUUGAACUCUAUCUAGAAAAUAUCCAACUGAAAUUCCUCUGUGUUAUUUUUAGGUAAAUUGUACUUCCUAUUAAUCCUGGAUCCUGAGGCAUGAUAUCUCUAAUUUUUCUAUCAUUUAAAUAAUUUUAGAAGGAAUUUAGAAUAGGAUAAGUUAGCACGCUGUGUUCACUAUGAAUCUUCAGCUAGUAUCUGAAAGUUAUGUUUAUAUAAAUGUUUAUUUUUUGCUGAGAACACAUGUCCAUGAAUGAAUGUGAUUGAAAUUGUAACACCUCAUAAUGGUGAAUUAUUAAAAGAAUAGACACUGUAUAUUAUUAAAUUACACAUAUGUCUUAGUCUGGGUUCCCCAGAGAGAGACAGAACCAAAGGGAAAUAUAUUUUUAUACACAAUGUUAAAUUAUAUAAAUAUGUAUGCAAUGUUAUAUAUAUGUAUAAAUAUUAAAUGUGUAAAUAUAUACACAUAAUAUAUAUGCUUGUAAAUAAAUUUAUUAUAUGGCAUUGUCUCAUGAAAUUAUAGAGGCUGAGUAGUCUCAAGAUCUGAAGACAGCAGAAACCUGGGAAAGUUAAUGAUAUACGUUGUUAUACUCCAAGUGUGAGUCUGAAGACAAGGGAAGACCAACGUCCAAGCUUGAAGACAGUCAGAUAGAAUCAUUCUGCAGCCUGGCUAAGGAUGAAGAUAACUGAUAAACUAUUAUAUACCACUUAACAUUGAAGAACUUAAGAAUGUGCAAUGAGAGUUAAACUUCGAAUCACGCAUGGCAAUCAGUGCCUACUCAUGCCAUUUCACUUCAAAGGGACGGUGUCUAGAAACAUUCUUUUUACAAGGCAUUGAUAUAUGUAAAGAAUGUAUCAAUGAAUAGAUGAUGGUGGUGUUUCAGUUACAAAAGCAGAGAAAGAAAUUUGUUACUGAAGGCAAACUUGUACACCUGGGCAAAGCACUUGCAUUCUUUUAAGUUCUGUCAAAGGUAGUACUUCUCAAACUUAAAUAUGCAUGCAAAUCACCUGAGGAAUCACAGAAGAAUUCAGAUUCUCAUGUGAAGGUCUAGAGUGGGGCUUGACCCUCUGCAUAAUAAGCUUCCAAGUGAUGCUGAUACAGCUUGUCCACUUUGAAUAACAAGGAUUUAGUUGAAAGAAACCCUGAAUCAUGGACAUACUUUGAUUUAUCUCUGCUCUUUCUUGAUUUGGACUCAUUAAACCAACUUCAGAUUACAAUUUGCCUUCUCUGUUGGUUUAUCUAAAUAGCAGUAUUGUUAAUCCCAAGAUUGUAUCCCUUAUGGUGAAUAAACAUGUGGACAUUCCAGAUUUAUGCAUUUAGGCAUUUAUUUCUGUGAGGUUGGUUAAUGUGCAUUUGUUUCAGAUGAGGUUAAUAAAAU